rnacentral:misc_RNA from 1 species
GAUGAAGAACGUAGCGAAAUGCGAUACUUGGUGUGAAUUGCAGAAUCCCGUGAACCAUCGAGUCUUUGAACGCAAGUUGCGCCCGAAGCCACUAGGCCGAGGGCAUGCCUGCCUGGGCGUCACACGUCGUUGCCCCCCCAUCUACUCCUUCGGGAUUGCGGGGGGGCGGAUGAUGGCCUCCCGUGCGCCUAGCCGCGCGGUUGGCAUAAAUACCAAGUCCUCGGCGACGCACGCCACGACAAUCGGUGGUUGCGAAACCUCGGUUGCCCGUCGUGUGCGUUCGUCGCGCAUCGAGGGCUCGAAAAAAUGCUCGGCUUCGGCUCGGCUUUCAACGCGACCCCAGGUCAGGCGGGGUUACCCGCUGAAUUUAAGCAUAUCAAUAAGCGGAGGA